GUGCUUCCUUCAGCGGCACAUAUAUUAAAAUUGGAAAGACACUGAGACUAGCUUUGCCCUUCUGCAAAGAUGACAUGCAAGUUCACGAAGUAGUCCGUGUUUUU